CACAGGUGUCAGAAAUUCACCUCGCCCCGAGAAUCAUGAGACUGCAAGUCUCCUGGGUCUUUCUUCCUUUGUACUUCUCCUGCUCCGAAGCCCAGGUGGAUCAGAGCCCCGAGUCGCUGGUUACUGGGGAAGGGAAGGUCUCCACCAUGUCCUGCUCCUUCACCAGCAAGUACCAAACCUUCUACUGGUACCAGCAGCUCCCUGGGCGAGGCCUGACCUACCUGCUGUCCGUCAGCCCUCAGGAGAACGCUACCGAGCAGCGCUUCGUCGGGCAGCCCCUGGAAGAUGGGAAACGCAGCUCCCUGCACAUCACCGACUCCCAGCUGGGGGACUCAGGCAGCUACCUCUGUGCCGUGAGAGCACAGUGA